UGGGGAAUCUUGCGCAAUGGACGAAAGUCUGACGCAGCGACGCCGCGUGGGUGAUGAAGGCCUUCGGGUUGUAAAGCCCUUUAAGCCGGGACGAAAAAGCUGCACCUAACACGUGCGGCCUUGACGGUACCGGAAGAAUAAGCACCGGCUAACUCUGUGCCAGCAGCCGCGGUAAUACAGAGGGUGCGAGCGUUAAUCGGAUUUACUGGGCGUAAAGCGUGUGUAGGUGGCUUCCUAAGUCGGUUGUGAAAUCCCUGGGCUCAACCUGGGAAUUGCAGUCGAUACUGGGAAGCUCGAGUUCGGUAGAGGACGGCGGAAUUCCCGGUGUAGCGGUGAAAUGCGUAGAUAUCGGGAGGAACAUCGAUGGCGAAAGCAACCGUCUGGGCCUGAACUGACACUGAGACACGAAAGCGUGGGGAGCAAA
rnacentral:rRNA from 1 species